UGGGAAUGGGAGUUGUCUACUUGUU
rnacentral:piRNA from 1 species